AUUGUUUUAAUUUUUUCGAAAUGAUUUAUCAAAAUGAGAUAGUUGAAGGGUAGUUGAUUGAUUAAUUAAUUUGAUGAUGUUUUUUGGCACUUGAAAUUAUCUCUUAUAGAUCCAUGCUUUUUUUUGUUUAUGAAUUCUAUGAUUCUGUAUAGUGGGCAGUACUCGAUGAAUGAGUUCGAUACUUAAUUAGACAGUUGAAUGAAGUCUUGAUGUUAGUAUAAAGUUUUAGAUCCAAAUAUGUUGAUGUUGAAUGAAAUUAUGAGCUCUGAACAAAGUUAAUAGAUCCACUGUGUCGACAGUUUUGAGUUUUUAUUAUUUUGUGGAAUUUACUUGAAUAGUUGACUCUGGUUGAGUAGUUGAUAGUUGAAUGAAGUUUAUCUUAGCUUCUGGGUUUUGUAUUUUGGAUCCAAUCUUAACAUAAGUGUUUUGCAUUUUGAAUGAGUUUUUGGACUUGAAAUGAGUUUGAAGCAAAGAUGGAUCUACGGUGUAGCGUAUCCCCUCAACAAUUAGGUAUUUUUUUUAAAAGAAAAAUUAUGUGUAUAUAUAGAUUGUGGAUCUCCGAACAUAAGAUUAAACAUUGGCUCAGUGGUUGAGGAAUUCAAAAUUCGGUUAGAGGUUUCAAGUUUGAAGCUCAAACACUACAUUUUUAUUUUUCGAAUCCCCUUAGUCAAAAUCAUGGAUCCGCCACGGGUUUGAAGAAUGUUAAUUGGUGC
rnacentral:misc_RNA from 1 species